GUCCCUUUAACUCUCAUCAGACCCCUGCGUGCGUCGGAAACCCCCCUUUCUAGAUGAGGAAACGAAGACAUCAGCAGUCCUAUAACCCCGGCGUGGGGUGACGCUGCCGGCCACCCAGAGACUGGCCCCGCCGCCCGCGCUGCGGGGUCUCGUGUCUCCUGGACGGUGGGCGUGCGCCACGUCAGGAGCGUCUGUCCAUCCGUGUCCGCCGUCGCCCCUGUGCCCAUGUCCCGUCUCCUAACACGAGUGCGAAGCCGGAUGCCUUCACCCAGACCGGAGGGUCACGAGACCAGCCCUUCGGAGGAGAAGAGGAUGGCGAGUGCGGGGGCAGAGGGAUAAGUGAGUUUCCUUGGAGAAGUUGGUGAGAGCUACAGAACUGACAGACGGAGACUUCAGGGCUGGUCCUGUCAUCAUCCACCAGGCUGGGAGAACCUGAUCUUGGGAGCCCUCCUGAGAUCCCACUAGACCUGCUGUCUCUUCCCUUGGGUGUUCCUUAACAGCACCUGGAUGCCAUUUCAGGACUGACCAUCCAGCAUCUCUGGAGAUUGAAAUGAAAUGCUGACCUACAAUGGAAGGCAGCAACCCUCACACCCAGCCUAAGGAGUGCCAGGAAGCAAGUACCCUUUUACCUCCCAAGACUGUUGAUUUGUAACCUUAAGACUCUGAGCUUUGUUAUCGAAACCUGCAAUAUCAGAGGUUUAGAGAAUUGGGUUGGUUCACUAAAAGUUGUAAACUAUG